AUGGAACUACUUAAAACACAACUUGAAUCCAACCACCUUCAAAUAAUUGUGCCACAAUGUCAUGAUCAAGUAGCCAACCCCUUCACGUAAUGUGACUUUUAACAUUUUAUCACUAAUCUUGUUAAGAAAAGGUUCAAGUUCUUUUGUGUACCGCAAUAAAACGACUUAUCUCCCGUGCCUGCACUUGAGUAUGAACGUAAUGUGACUUUUAACAUUUUAUCACUAAUCUUGUUAAGAAAAGGUUCAAGUUCUUUUGUGUACCGCAAUAAAACGACUUAUCUCCCGUGCCUGCACUUGAGUAUGUAAUCAGAUCCAUAGCAGUCAAUCGGACAUGCUUUGUUGUAGGUACAAAUACAAGGGCAGGUUUCUCAUUCUUGGCAUGUUGAGAAAUUGCGGCCUAAGUUGGUUUUGUCAUUGCCUGCAUCCUCGGACACUAUUGAGCCCUUUUUGAUGAUUUCUCAAAAUUGCAAAUUCUGCACAUGUAGUCUUACCACUCCCGGUUGGAGUAGCAACUAAGUAGCCGUCAUCAGAAUUAUACAGAACUGUGAAGACUUGUCAUAUGAAGGACUUUGUAAAGCUGUCACGGGCAGUGACUGCAGAUCCAAUAGUUUAGUAGGUGGAGGAUACUUUUCAGGUAAGAUUAUGUGUCUGAAAGAUACAGGUAAAACAGAUUGGGA
rnacentral:lncRNA from 1 species